rnacentral:rRNA from 1 species
CCUACGGGUGGCAGCAGUGGGGAAUAUUGCGCAAUGGGCGAAAGCCUGACGCAGCGACGCCGCGUGAGGGAUGAAGGUCUUCGGAUCGUAAACCUCUGUCAGCAGGGAAGAACGGUCACUGUGCUAAUCAGCAGUGAAUUGACGGUACCUGCAAAGGAAGCACCGGCUAACUCCGUGCCAGCAGCCGCGGUAAUACGGAGGGUGCGAGCGUUAAUCGGAAUUACUGGGCGUAAAGCGUUCGUAGGCGGUAUGUCAAGUCAAGGGUGAAAUCCCCGGGCUCAACGUGGUAACUGCCUUUGAAACUGGCAAACUGGAGUGUGGGAGAGGAUAGUGGAAUUCCAGGUGUAGCGGUGAAAUGCGUAGAUAUCUGGAGGAACAUCAGUGGCGAAGGCGACUAUCUGGCACAUAACUGACGCUGAGGAGCGAAAGCGUGGGUAGCAAACAGGAUUAGAUACCCCUGUAGUC